UAGGGAAUCUUCGGCAAUGGACGAAAGUCUGACCGAGCAACGCCGCGUGAGUGAAGAAGGUUUUCGGAUCGUAAAACUCUGUUGUUAGAGAAGAACAAGUGAGAGAGUAACUGUUCUCACCUUGACGGUAUCUAACUAGAAAGCCAGGGCUAACUACGUUCCAGCAACCGCGGUAAUACGUAGGUGGCAAGCGUUGUCCGGAUUUAUUGGGCGUAAAGCGAGCGCAGGCGGUUCCUUAAGUCUGAUGUGAAAGCCCCCGGCUCAACCGGGGAAGGUCAUUGGAAACUGGGGAACUUGAGUGCAGAAGAGGAGAGUGGAAUUCCAUGUGUAGCGGUGAAAUGCGUAGAUAUAUGGAGGAACACCAGUGGCGAAGGCGACUCUCUGGUCUGUAACUGACGCUGAGGCUCGAAAGCGUGGGGAGCAAACAGG
rnacentral:rRNA from 1 species